AUUUACAAUUUAUGUCAAUCUCUAAGAACAUAUACACCAAUAAAAGAAAAACCUAGCUUUCUUCAUUCUUCGUGGAAUUGCAAGGAUGCUAUUCUUCGGUCUCAGUCUGGGAAUCGCUGGCAAUAAAAAAACGCUCUCUUCGUUCUUCUUAGAAUUGCAAGGAUGCUCUCUACAAAGUAUGCUUGUCUGGACUGUGAUACAUACCUCUUCUCCUCAAACGCUUGAAGGCGUUAAUUAGGGCAUGGAGGGUGGAGUCUUAGUGGAGAAAACAUAUGAUUAGAUUGAAUCAUGUACGUGGCAGAUAUUUCUUUGAAUAACGUUUCACUAACUCCAUGACUUACCACUCAAAACUUGGAUACAUAUCUCUUCUCUGUUUUUUUAGAGAAAAAUUUUUAUCCAAGAAAUUCUUAAUCAGUACGUGUGAACACUUGCAUCACACACCUGAAUCACUAUCUCAGUUUGAAUCAAGUAAGAAGCCUCGUUUUUGUGGAGUAAAUUGCAGAGCUGGUUUUAUUUUUUUGUUUAUGCAGUUCUUUACUACACCGCACUUAAUCUCGAUUUACUAUAAAAACAUCUAAAUCAGAACCUGAAUUUUUCCAUGUCAGUUAUUUUCAUGUGCUGUUAGGAGGGAGAAAUACGUAGUCAAUUUCAGAGAUUGGAAUUGCUGCUCCACUUUAAUUUCCUUAGGCAGCUCGUCCAUGCAAUUGUCCUAUCUCUUAUUUUCUGUUUCAUUCACCAAGGAACUUCACCGUUUUCAUUGAGAGGUUUGUUAUGUUUCAGUGUAGUCGUAUUGUAUGAUGUUUUAAUGACACUGUUUGCAGUUAAGAAUAAAACAAUAAUAAAGUGAACAACUUGUAGUGUUCUGUUAUUUAGACAAAUACGUAUCAGAUUGCAGGGAUAUAAGAUUUGCUACUA